rnacentral:tRNA from 1 species
GGAGGCGUCCUGGGCCUGGUGGCCCUCCCGGUCUUCAAAACCGGCGGCGCGCCAACCGCGCGCGGCGGGUUCGAUUCCCGUCCGCCUCCGCCA